GUGGGGAAUUUUGGACAAUGGGCGCAAGCCUGAUCCAGCAAUGCCGCGUGCAGGAAGAAGGCCUUCGGGCUGUAAACUGCUUUUGUACGGAACGAAACGGUCCGGGUUAAUACCCUGGGCUAAUGACGGUACCGUAAGAAUAAGCACCGGCUAACUACGUGCCAGCAGCCGCGGUAAUACGUAGGGUGCAAGCGUUAAUCGGAAUUACUGGGCGUAAAGCGUGCGCAGGCGGUUUUGUAAGACAGGCGUGAAAUCCCCGGGCUCAACCUGGGAAUUGCGCUUGUGACUGCAAGGCUGGAGUGCGGCAGAGGGGGAUGGAAUUCCGCGUGUAGCAGUGAAAUGCGUAGAUAUGCGGAGGAACACCGAUGGCGAAGGCAAUCCCCUGGGCCUGCACUGACGCUCAUGCACGAAAGCGUGGGGAGCAAACAGGAUUAGAAACCCGUGUAGUCC
rnacentral:rRNA from 1 species